GAAAUGCGAUAAGUAAUGUGAAUUGCAGAAUUCAGUGAAUCAUCGAAUCUUUGAACGCACAUUGCGCCCGCCAGUAUUCUGGCGGGCAUGCCUGUCCGAGCGUCAUUUCAACCAUCAAGCCCCCGGGCUUGUGUUGGGGACCUGCGGCUGCCCGCAGACCCUGAAAACCAGUGGCGGGCUCGCUGUCACACCGAGCGUAGUAGCAAUCACCUCGCUCAGGGCGUGCUGCGGGUUCCGGCCGUUAAACAGCCUUACAAAACCCAAGGUUGACCUCGGAUCAGGUAGGAAGACCCGCUGAACUUAAGC
rnacentral:misc_RNA from 1 species